rnacentral:lncRNA from 1 species
GGCCUGUCCCUGAGCUGCGCUCCUGGGACAGUCCCACCCUGACCAACAGCAGCCCCCGGUUUGUUUCUGAGCGUCCGUCUCCAAAAAUCUGCAAGGAGAAAGAGCCUCCGCCACUGUGCCGGACCACACGGAGAGCACCUUGCCAUGCAACAAAAGACCACUUUUUUUUUUUUUUGGAACCAGAGAUUGAACCCAGUGGGGGCUUAACCACUGAGUCCUAUCCCCAGAACCUUUUAUGUUUUAUUUUGAGACAGGGUCUUACUAAGUUGCUGAGGCUGGCCUUGAACUUGCAAUCCUCCUGCCUCAGCCUCCUGAGUCCCUGGGAUUACAGGUAUGUGCCACUGUCCCCAGCUUCAUUGGCUAUUUCUGUGAACUGCCUGCCCGAGACCUGUGCUGUGACCUUGGCAAGUCUUCCCCAGGUGUGA